UGAAUAAACAAAUAAGACCUAGGCAUUGUUCAUCUCAUUCUCUCCGUCCACAGCCUCAAGCGGCACACAAACACAGAGGUUUUCAAUGAGAUAAGCUCCAGAGAUAUGGAAAAGAUAAACGUCUUCAAAGAUUCCUUGGCAUGCCUAUUGUUGCUGCCUUAAAGAUGAUCCCUGUGGGAUCUUCAUAAAACUCAGGCGAAGCAAACAGAUACUUCCCACUUGCCCCCAAUAUCACAGUAGUAGGGAGCAUCACAGCCGCCAAUUGUAUUUCUCAUACAAUAAAGUUGCAGCCAAGCAAAUUUGAAGGCUGAAGAAGAUCUACCACACAACAUACAUUGCUGAAAAAGUUUCAUACUUCUAUUGGCAAUGGUGGAAAAUAGUUCGGGUUGCAUCAGAAGAUUUGAUUUUAUGUUUUUAGAAAUAUUUUGACAUAGGAUUUUGAUAAAUGAGUUAUAGAUUAGAUGUUUAGCAUCAAAAUAUUUGGUGUUGUAUUUUUGCAAAUAUUUUGACAUCGGAUUUUGGUAAAUGACUUGUGGGUUAGAUGUUUAGCAUCAAAAUAUUUGGUUUUGUGUUUUGAAAAAUAUUUUGACAUAGGAUUUGGUAAUGGAUUUGUGGGUUUGAUGUUAA